AGCAGAGUCCGCUGACGUGCUGGGCGGCGGCUGGGGACGUUUCCCGGCUGCGGCCGCUCCUCCCCGGGGCUGCACCGACGGGGGCGGAAUCCCUUGUGAUUUCCCGACGCUUGCAAUUGGCUCUUUGAACCGUGCCAUUUCCUAAUAAGGGCGCAAAGGCGAGAAGGGCUCAGCCUAGUGACUCACCGUCCAAACGGGGAGUUCUGCUAAAAGGAAACGACUGCAAAAUGUGUGUUUCGGGUUUAUCUGGAAGCGUAUGGCUGUUGAUUGUGCCCGUCGUAUAAACGGGGAGGAAGUAGAGUGACAGCCGUAGAACACCUUUACAGUAAAACCUGGGAAACCAGAGCCUGUGUGAGGCUUCUGUCAGAGCAGAAAACCUCAGAUAUUUUCCACUAAAAUGAUUACUGCAGCCUAAUACACACCCUCUGAAAGCUGGACGCUGUGAGAGGGACAGAAUCAGAAAAUUAUUGGUAUUGCAGCCCCAAUACCAGGAAGUGCAGAUGUGAGAGCCGGUUCCAAGUAUUAGAGUCGGAGAUGAAGGCUGUCUUCUACUUCCUCUCGCUUUGAUUCUGUGUGUGAGUGCUUUCUGCGCAUGGCCGCUGUGCUUUGAGUAUUUCUUAUGCUUUACGUUUUUGCCUUUUUUGUUCUUUUUUUUUUUUUGCCUGUAAAUUUUUUCCAGUGAAGAACAACACCCAUAAAUUUGGAGGACGCUUGUUCCUUCACAGCCAUGGAUAAGAGAGUGAGAAACUUAUCUCUGAAAGAAAAGUUUGACGUUGUCAGAAUGAUAGUGGAAGAGAAAAAGACUGUCAAGGAAGCUGUAAUAAAGUUCAAGUGCGGCAAAUCACAAAUUUACUCAAUUAUGAAAGAAAAGGAUAAAAUAAUUGAAAAAUACAUGAGCGGCACCAAUGUAAACAUCAAGAAAGGAAGGGAUGGAAAUUAUGCAGAAAUCAACAAAUCUGUUUUUGAGUGGUUUCUUCAAGCCUCUGCCAAAAAUGUUCCCAUUUCAGGACCUAUCCUGCAGGCAAAGGCGAAGGAAAUGGCAAAACUUUUAAAAGUGGAUGGAUUCUCAGCGUCUAACGGGUGGCUUCAAAGCUUCAAAAAAAAACAUGGGAUCAUUUGCAAUGUAAGAAAAUGCUUUAAGAACUGUGGUUUCUUAUUUGGCAGUGGUGAUAGUGAACAAAAUGAAACAGUUACUGAGCCUGAUAACGUCACGCAGAUUCAGGAUGCAGUAAGUGACAUUUAUAGUGCUGGUUCGGAAAACAGAAUCACUGCUGCAGCUUGUAUUGAUAUUGACAAAGAAAUUGCCACAGAAAUGGACGAUAUAAACCUGCGAGAAGUGGUGGACUCCCAACCUAAAGAUGGCGAUGAUGAAGAUGGUGAAGACCUGCCCUUAGAGGAGCCCGAGCCUUUAAGUCAAACACAAGUUUUCAACUAUAUAAAGGCUUUGAAGGAAUUUGGAAAAGUUAAAGGAGACCAAGAGUUUUUUGAUAAGGCUACGGAUUUGGAAAUUUGUUUCAACAAUUUCAUCAAAAAAACAAAACAAGCUAAACAGUUGACGUUAGAUGUUUUUAUUAAGAAGUGACUUUUACCCAUACCUUUGUUUUAACAGUAGAUGCACAUAUGUGCAUAACUGUGUAUAAUUUGAAUAAACAUACAAAUUGUGAAAAAAUGGUUUCAUUUCUUUUCCAAUCCUAUAAAAUCAAAAAGAAACACUUUCUGGGUGUUUAUGAGGUAGGAUUCUGGAUAGAGAGAGCAAUAGAAAAGUAAGACUGUACCCUGUCAAAGGCAGAAAACUAUGGAGACCCCAAAAAACAAGGCAGUCCCCUCGAGUUCCAGCUCUCACAGGUUUCACUGUAUAUGGAAGCAAGGAUAAGCAGAACCUAGUUUGCCUUGAUGAAAUUACUUUUAAUUUUCCUUUUGACUGUCCAGGAGUAGCAUCUCCAAGCCUGUGUAUAAAACGGUUUUGAAUUUGUUCGUUCUGGUUUGAACUCUUGCUGAGAAUUUGCAUUUCCACCCCAGAUACACUGAAUCAAAAUCUACAUUUUAAUAAGAUCCCCAGAUAAUUCUUAUGUAUUACCUGGGGGUCUUGUUAAAUGCAGAUUCCCAGCAGGGGUUUGAACAGAAUGAACUGGUUCGAAGCUGUCUCUGGCUGGCUUCUUUAGAGAAGCAAAACCAGUGAAGUGUGUAUGUAUACAUAGAGAUUUAUCUCAAGGAAAUGGCUCACGCAGUUGUAGGGGCUGGCAAGUCUGAAGUCCCUGGGUCAGGUGUCAGGCUAGAGGUUUCUUCUGCUCACGUAGCUGUAGGGGCUGACGAACCCAGGAUCAACAGGUGCAGGAUCCAGAGAUAGCAAAAGUCCAUAUAGGAUACAUCCCCAAGGAAACUCCCUUUCAACUGAGUGGCUGGUAGUAAUAGAUCUCAUCACGGAGGUGAUUACAUCACUGCCAAACUAAGUCAUAACUGCCAAACCUCUGAGAAUCAUGGCCCAGCCAAGUGGACAUGCAACCUUAACCAUCACAGAAGCUCCAGAAUAAAAACCAGCUAACGAGGUGUGAAGAGUGGUUAAUUGUUUUGAAAGUUAAUUGAAAUCCAAAUAAAAAUCUAAGGUGUAUCUGAAGUAAAUCAGAGAAUUUAAACUUGUAAGGUCUGAAGUUUCAGUCUACAUUUUACAGAUAAAGAAAUAGACCCAAAGAUUUCUGUAACUUGCCCAAACCAAAAAAAAAAAGUGUUGCCAUCGAGUCGAUUCUGACUCAUAGUGACCCUAUAGGACAGAGUAAAACUGCCCCAUAGGGUUUCCAAAUAACAUAGCUGUGGGUUCUACAAAACUCAAGAAAUAGCAUUUCUAAUCAAUCCCUAAUCAAACGUAUCUGUGAUGCAUUUUCACAAAUGAUUUGUCUUUUUUUUUUUUUUUUAA